CGCGUAGGCGGACAGUUAAAGUCGGGGGUGAAAGCCCGGGGCUCAACCUCGGAAUUGCCUUCGAUACUGGCUGUCUUGAGUACGGGAGAGGUGUGUGGAACUCCGAGUGUAGAGGUGAAAUUCGUAGAUAUUCGGAAGAACACCAGUGGCGAAGGCGACACACUGGCCCGUUACUGACGCUGAUGCGCGAAAGCGUGGGGAGCAAAACAGGAUUAGAUACCCUGGUAGUCCACGCCGUAAACGAUGAGUGCUAGUUGUCGGCAUGCAUGCAUGUCGGUGACGCAGCUAACGCAUUAAGCACUCCGCCUGGGGAGUACGGUCGCAAGAUUAAA
rnacentral:rRNA from 1 species